rnacentral:rRNA from 1 species
GACAGAGGGUGCAAGCGUUGUUCGGAAUUACUGGGCGUAAAGGGCGUGUAGGCGGUGGAGUGUGUCCGGCGUGAAAGACCUCGGCUCAACCGGGGAAGUGCGCUGGAUCCUACUUUGCUGGAGUGCGAGAGAGGGUGGCGGAAUUCUCAGUGUAGAGGUGAAAUUCGUAGAUACUGGGAGGAACACCGGAGGCGAAGGCGGCCACCUGGAUCGUAACUGACGCUGAAACGCGAAAGCGUGGGGAGCAAAC